rnacentral:rRNA from 1 species
GGGGAAUAUUGGACAAUGGGGGCAACCCUGAUCCAGCAAUGCCGCGUGUGUGAAGAAGGUCUUCGGAUUGUAAAGCACUUUCGACGGGGACGAUGAUGACGGUACCCGUAGAAGAAGCCCCGGCUAACUUCGUGCCAGCAGCCGCGGUAAUACGAAGGGGGCUAGCGUUGCUCGGAAUGACUGGGCGUAAAGGGCGUGUAGGCGGUUUACACAGUCAGAUGUGAAAAUCCCCGGGCUUAACCUGGGAGCUGCAUUUGAUACGUGUAGACUAGAGUGUGAGAGAGGGUUGUGGAAUUCCCAGUGUAGAGGUGAAAUUCGUAGAUAUUGGGAAGAACACCGGUGGCGAAGGCGGCAACCUGGCUCAAUGACUGACGCUGAGGCGCGAAAGCGUGGGGAGCAAACAGGAUUAGAUACCCUGGUAGUCCACGCUGUAAACGAUGUGUGCUAGAUGUUGGGUAACUUUGUUAUUCAGUGUCGCAGUUAACGCGUUAAAGCACAACCGCCUGGGGAGUACGGCCGC